rnacentral:rRNA from 1 species
UAGGGAAUCUUCGGCAAUGGACGAAAGUCUGACCGAGCAACGCCGCGUGAGUGAAGAAGGUUUUCGGAUCGUAAAACUCUGUUGUUAGAGAAGAACAAGGAUGAGAGUAGAAUGUUCAUCCCUUGACGGUAUCUAACCAGAAAGCCACGGCUAACUACGUGCCAGCAGCCGCGGUAAUACGUAGGUGGCAAGCGUUGUCCGGAUUUAUUGGGCGUAAAGCGAGCGCAGGCGGUUUCUUAAGUCUGAUGUGAAAGCCCCCGGCUCAACCGGGGAGGGUCAUUGGAAACUGGGAAACUUGAGUGCAGAAGAGGAGAGUGGAAUUCCAUGUGUAGCGGUGAAAUGCGUAGAUAUAUGGAGGAACACCAGUGGCGAAGGCGGCUCUCUGGUCUGUAACUGACGAUGAGGCUCGAAAGCGUGGGGAGCAAACAGG